rnacentral:rRNA from 1 species
CUAAUACCGGAUACGAGCUUCAGCCGCAUGGCUAGGAGUUGGAAAGAAUUUCGGUUUGGGAUGGACUCGCGGCCUAUCAGCUAGUUGGUGAGGUAAUGGCUCACCAAGGCGACGACGGGUAGCCGGCCUGAGAGGGUGACCGGCCACACUGGGACUGANACACGGCCCANACUCCUACGGGAGGCAGCAGUGGGGAAUAUUGCACAAUGGGCGCAAGCCUGAUGCAGCAACGCCGCGUGAGGGACGACGGCCUUCGGGUUGUAAACCUCUUUUAGUAGGGAAGAAGCGAAAGUGACGGUACCUGCANAAAAAGCACCGGCUAACUACGUGCCAGCAGCCGCGGUAAUACGUAGGGUGCAAGCGUUGUCCGGAAUUAUUGGGCGUAAAGAGCUCGUAGGCGGUUUGUCGCGUCUGCUGUGAAAACCCGAGGCUCAACCUCGGGCCUGCAGUGGGUACGGGCAGACUAGAGUGCGGUAGGGGAGAUUGGAAUUCCUGGUGUAGCGGUGGAAUGCGCAGAUAUCAGGAGGAACACCAAUGGCGAAGGCNGAUCUCUGGGCCGUAACUGACGCUGAGGAGCGAAAGCNUGGGGAGCGAACAGGAUUAGAUACCCUGGUAGUCCAUGCCNNAAACGUUGGGAACUANAUGUGGGGGACCAUUCCACGGUCUCCGUGUCNCAGCUAANNCAUUAANUUCCCCCGCCUGGGGGAGUA